UGAGCUCCUCUCCUUGAAGGAGACCAGUGCCUGAGUGCUAGCCCCAGUGGGUAUGAAUUCACCUGCCUUGCCCCAAGGACCACACAAAGGAUCUGUGCAGUUCUCAGUGUAAGCUCAGAUUCCCCAGCAAUGUUCCUCACCAGGUAACCAGGAAGCCCUGAGCAUGUGGAGCUUCCACAGUGACUGCCCAAAGUCCCAGCCACACGGUGAGUCCUCCCACACAGCCUCAGUGUUUUCACAGUCCCGACACACAAGUCUCCCACAGUCACUAGCAGCCAGCCCCCUGUCAGUUCUCCCCACCAGACUCAGGAGUCUCCACUCAGCUGGUUGCUGGGAACAUGAAAACAAGCUGGUACAGUUGUUACCUAUGUCCCAAAUGACUCCCGCUCUUUAUUGGCUUGUUACAGGACACUGUUGCAAGGUGGUCGGGGAGAAAGAAAUGUGCUCCUUUUUUUUUCCUUCUCUAGUUUGGCAGUUGUCUCCUCUGGACUACUUUCUACUGAUGACAUCGCCAACCCCAAAGAUUUAACACCGGCAGAAACAAGAGAAUGAUGUAAAAUAAAUUGGCUUCAAUGGUUUCUUCCAUUUGGGGUUUGGCCCCAAGGCUGCCUUGGAGCCCACUUGAUUUCAUCCACUGGAGAAAAUGACAAGGCAAGAGGAGCUGAGUGUGCUUACCUGGAGGAGGGGUAGCCCUCGCCGCCCCUGUGUCUUCUCCAUCUUGGUCUGGAUCAGCCACAAAGGAAGAGAGAGAGGGAAAGUAGUGUCAGCCCUGGUCUGUCUCCCUUGCUCUCCAGCAGUGCCUCCCCUCUCAUUGGACACAGGAAGCCUGGUGCCCUUGGUGUCACCCUGGUCUGCUUAGCACUGUGCGAUUUCCUGGGAUAGCAUGUCAAGAUCACUGGAGCCAGAUACAGCCUUGCAGGCAAAUGUCACUGCAGCUUGUUGGGCUGGAAGUGAGUGAGUUUGUUGAAAUGCCUGUUCCUCCUGAAUUUAGGAAAAAUGAAUACGGGCAGAAAAUCCCAUUUGUGAACAGAGGUUCAUGCAGUAUGGAGGCAAUGGAAGAGUGUGGCUGAAGCUGUUGGCUCUGGAGCUCCAAAAAGCUGCAAGUGUGUUUCCCUGUACAAUGAGUUAUAUUGUUGUUCUUGCUGAACAGUUAGUUGUUCAAUCCCUACUGCAUGUCAGAUAUGGCAACAAGGGCUUUCCCACUGGAUCUCCAUGAGUUAGUACUGUGCCCGUCCUCAUUCCGAGAUGAGGAAGAAGAUACACAGGAAAGUUAGGUCACUUACUCAAGGUCACACAGUUAGAAAGAGACAGAUGCUAACUCAGCUUGGCUGAAGUUGACAGUCUUAAACACAAUGCCAGAUUAUUACUUCAUGGCUGGUUGGAUGGCCAAAAGCUAGAUACGGUAACUUAAAAACUCUUGGGAAAGGAGGAAACUGCCUUAAAUGGAAUGUACUCCAAGUUCAAGUCCAUGGAGGUGUUCCAUGAAAAUGAGGCUGUGAAGUUCACCGAUGUGAAAAAUGCUCCAACAAAUACAGAAAUCUGGAUCAUUGCUAAGCUGGGGCAAAUUGUUCUCUUCCAAAGCAAAACCUACAGACUUGGAACAGAGGGCUACUAGGCUGGCUGGCCUGGGCAAAUGACUCUACCUCUCAAAGCUUCUCCUCUGACUGUAAAAUAGAGAUAAGAGCGGACGUCUUAGGACCAGGGAGAAAUAAUUCUGCACAAGUAAGGGGUUUGGAAUAUGCUGGCACAUCAAAGGCCCUCAUCAAUGUCACUGCCCGUUAACUAUCCAGUAGCAAAUAAUCGUCAUUAUGUAUGUGUAUUGAUUAGUCAAAGAUUUAGGGUUACUAGUCACCAUCAGCAAAGUUAGGUUAAUCAGCAAGCAGUUAGGUUGAUCCUGCUGAUACAAUUUUGGCCUAGUUAUUUUUGGGAAGGACAUGGUGCACCAGGAGUCACUGUGGAACCUGCAGUCUGGCCUCAGACGCAAGUUACUGGCUGGGUCACCUCCCUCAGCCUCCGCUUCCUACAAGUUCUGCAAAACAGGUAUCAUAAUCUUUCCUGCAGGCCCUGUCCAGAGUGGUCUCCAGAACUGGGUGUGAACUUGCAGAUGGAUUUUCUCCACGGCAUCCCACUCUACCCUCUUCCAAAGCCCCUCUGCUUACUUGGGCCAAAGACAGCAGUCAGCCUGUCUGCUCCGGUCUCGGCAGUCACUGUGGAAAGAAAACAGCCAACUUCAGGUCUCUGCUCAGCUGGGAGUCUAAAUCAAGCAGAGGUCAACUGUGAAGGACACAGGCUUUGGGGGAGGGUGUCUAAGAAUCUAAAAGACAAGGCCCAGGGCAACGUGAGCAGGGGAUAAGGCUUUAUGUUGGUGCUUAAGUAGGUCCCCAUCCAAAGACGAGGGCCAGGCAUGUCUCAGGGCAGAAGCCCAGCAAGCAACAUCUCUGGGAGUGAAGGGCCACGGUGUCUCAGGGCCGGAACAAGACCUUAUGCUAAGGCAGCUACAGAGGGUGUUCAGGUUGGAAGUGGGGCAGUGGAAGCUUGGGGGCCUCCAGUUUCCACUCAGCUGUGUGUCUUGCACAUGUUAUCUCUGCUGCUCAGUUUACCGUCUUUAGGUGUGGAUUUCAGCAGUUAUUCCUAUGGUUGCGUGAACACUGGUGGAGAUUCUCUAAAUGAUCAGGUCUAUCCAGAGUAUGAUGUGACAGUGUGUGCUGAUUUUACAGGCAUACCACUUUCCUGGAAGGAGAUGCUUUCUAGAACCUCCCCGUGUUCUCUCUCAUCAGUCCUUUGCCACUCAAAAGGUUGGGGGUAACCAUCCCUUUUUCAGGAAUUUAUAAACUAUGGCCUGGCCCUCAGCCUAUUUGUAAAUAAAGUUUUAUUGGAAUGUGGACACACGUGCUCAUUUACAGAUUGUCUGUGAUUGCUUUCAUGCUACAAGAGCAAAGCUGAGUAAUUCCGGCAGAGAUCGGAGGCCUGCAAAGCCUACAAGAUUUACUACCUGAUCCCUUACAGAAAAUGUUGGCCAAACACUGCUUUGUCAGACGGUGAAACUGAAGCUUUGAGAGGUUUAAAGACUCUCCCAGAGUCAUGUAACUGAAAAAUAGGAGGGAAAAGGCUCAAUCCCAAUCUUCCUGACUCAACACCCUAAGUGUUUCAUUGUGAGAUGAGAGCUACGCAAAGCUUGCUAUCUUUUUCUCACUAACCAUUUGUGUGAUUUUCCCCACAUCUUCAUACCCAGGAGCCUUCUUCUCUGGAAGUGUGUGUUCCCUGCGGAAGUCACGGAUAUGAGUCGAGAAUGAGUCGGUCUAUGACUUCCCUUUCUCCAGUUAGACUCUGGACUAACCUGAUUCACUGCAUCUUUAUCCCAGGGAUGCAUGUCCUCAUGCCACACCAGCAUGUCCUCAUGCCACAAGAGCCUUUGUUACCAUCAAGUGCACUAUUUCAUCUGAUACUUUCAAUGUCUGACAGCCCUGGAUGGUGCAGAAGGUCAGGACCUCUCAAACCCUGGAACAGCUGCCGUACACUGGUGCCUCACUCAACACAGACCUGCACUAUUCACAAUAGCCAGGACACAGAGAUCACCUACAUGUCUAUCUACUGAAGAAUGGACAAAGAAAAUGUGGCAUCUGGUCGCAAUGGAAUAUUCUUCAGCCACAACAAAGGAUGAAAUUGCAAUAACAUGGGUGGAACUGGACGUCAUUAUGUUAAGUGAAGUAAGCCCAGCAUGGAAAGGCAAGUGUCAUAGGAUCUCAGUCCUGUGUGGAGUCUAAAAUAGUCAUCUCACAGGAGAGAAAAGUAUGGUGGGGGUUGCCAGAGGCUGGGAAGGGAAGAAGGAGGAAGGGGAGGGAGAGGGUUAAUUGGUGGGUACUGGGCUGGAGCUAGAUCAGAGUAAGAAUUGCUGGGUCUCCUUUGCACACUAGGGUACUACAGAUAACAUUAAUGUACUGUAUAUUUCAUUAUAAGAAGGAAAAAACUUAGAAGAUAGGGUUUUGGAUGUUUUUGCCAUAAGGAAAUGCUCAGUGUUUGAGGACAUAGAUAGAUUUACCCUGAUUGCACAUUAUGCAAUGUAUACAUGUAUCAAAACAACACAUGAUACUCCAUAAAUGUGUCCAAUUUUUAUGUGUGUUACAAAUGUUUUUUCCCUAAAUACAAAUAAAACAGUCUGCUAAUCAAUAAUCUGCUGACUUGUUCCCACGCAUAAAACAUUUAUUGUGCAUCUGCUCCAUGCAAGCGGCAGAUGCCAUAGCUCCAGCCCUCAUGGGCUCUCAGUAAGGACUGUGAUGAUGCCACUGGCCAUGAGGGAUGCAAGUGGAUCCUGGGAGCCCUGGGCUUGGCCAGGCCUGCGCCCCUGAACUGUCCGUUCUCAGCCCAGCCCCCCUGAGUACCAGGAGAUGCUCACCACACAUGAUCUUCUUGCCGAUGCAGUCCACAUCUGCACCGAGCUUGCCAGGGUCUUGCAGACAGUCCAUCUCAGCCGCCUCCUCGUAGCACU